CAGCCGCCACGGUAAAACGGAGGGUGCUAGCGUUGUUCGGAAUCACUGGGCGUAAAGGGCGCGUAGGCGGCCUGUUAAGUCGGAUGUGAAAGCCCGGGGCUCAACCCCGGAACUGCAUCCGAGACUGGCAGGCUUGAGACCGGGAGAGGAGGGUGGAAUAUCCAGUGUAGCAGUGAAAUGCGUAGAGAUCGGGAGGAACAUCAGUGGCGAAGGCGGCCAUCUGGGACAACACUGACGCUGAGGCACGAAAGCGUGGGGAGCAAACAGGAUUAGAUACCCCGGUAGUCCCUGUCUCUUAUAC
rnacentral:rRNA from 1 species